rnacentral:rRNA from 1 species
UGAGUAACACGUACCCAACCUGCCGUCUACUCUUGGCCAGCCUUCUGAAAGGAAGAUUAAUCCAGGAUGGCAUCAUGAGUUCACAUGUCCGCAUGAUUAAAGGUAUUUUCCGGUAGACGAUGGGGAUGCGUUCCAUUAGAUAGUAGGCGGGGUAACGGCCCACCUAGUCAACGAUGGAUAGGGGUUCUGAGAGGAAGGUCCCCCACAUUGGAGCUGAGACACGGUCCAA